CAUAGCGACUAUCGUGGCAUAUCAAUAAGCGGAGGAAAAGAAACUAACAAGGAUUCCCCUUAGUAACGGCGAGUGAAGCGGGAAGAGCUCAAAUUUGAAAUCUUCAAGGUUUUACCUUGACGAAUUGUAGUUUAAAGAAGUGUUUUCUGUUGAAGUUUCGGUAAAAGUUCUUUGGAAUAGGACAUCAUAGAGGGUGAGAAUCCCGUAUUUGACCGUUACUUUCCAGCUGUGUGAUACACUUUCAAAGAGUCGGAUUGUUUGGGAAUGCAGUCCAAAAUGGGUGGUAAAUUUCAUCUAAAGCUAAAUAUUGGCGAGAGACCGAUAGCGAACAAGUACCGUGAGGGAAAGAUGAAAAGAACUUUGAAAAGAGAGUUAAACAGUACGUGAAAUUGUCAAAAGGGAAGCGUUUGACACCAGUGUUGUUUAGUUGAAAAUCAAUUCAAUAAUUUUUGAUUUUGAGUAGUAUUGACUUCAUCAGCUUGCUGCUUUCUUUUCAGGAAUUAUUGAAUGCACUUUUCAGUUAACAAGUCAACAUCAAUUUCUUUUGUUGUAAAAGGGUAAGAGGAAGGUGGCUUACGCUUCGGCGUAAGUGUUUAUAGCCUUUUACCUCUGCAAUCGGAGAGAUUGAGGACAGCAGCGUAGACUCCUUCGGGGUUAGAUACACUUGUGCUAAGCUAUAGCCUUGUAUAGACAACUUGUUGACUAUGCUCAGUCAUGUAGCUUACUCGCUUGUGCUAUUUUACCUACGCUUAGGAUGUUGAUAGUCACAGCGUGUAC
rnacentral:rRNA from 1 species